UACGUAGGGUGCAAGCGUUGUCCGGAAUUAUUGGGCGUAAAGAGCUCGUAGGCGGUUUGUUGCGUCGGCUGUGAAAUCCCGAGGCUCAACCUCGGGUCUGCAGUCGAUACGAGCAAACUAGAGUGUUGCAGGGGAGACUGGAAUUCCUGGUGUAGCGGUGAAAUGCGUAGAUAUCUGGAGGAACACCGGUGGCGAAGGCGGCAUCCUGGACCGGCAUUGACGCUGAGGCGCGAAAGCCAGGGGGAGCAAAGCGGG
rnacentral:rRNA from 1 species